UACGAAGGGUGCGAGCGUUGUCCGGAAUCAUUGGGCGUAAAGGGCGCGUAGGUGGCCCGGUCAGUUCGUGGUGAAAGCGCGGGGCUCAACCCUGCGUCGGCCAUGAAUACUGCCGCGGCUGGAGCACUGUAGAGGCAGGCGGAAUUCCGGGUGUAGCGGUGGAAUGCGUAGAGAUCCGGAAGAACACCGGUGGCGAAGGCGGCCUG
rnacentral:rRNA from 1 species